GAAAGCUUUUCCAUGAUUCCAAGGAAAAUGCAAAAACUCAGGAAUAAAGUUAGAAUAAGUAGAGUGUUGCCUAUAACUAUAGCAUUAGUGGUUGUGUUUUGUUUAGCUUGUAAUUUGUAUUUAGUGAUGAAAAUAUAAGGAUUUAGGGUUUCUUAUUUGUUUGGUAGGGGCGAGGGUAGUGGUGAAUAAUAGACGAAGGAGGGCAUUGCCCCAGAGAAGAUCGUUUGGGCGUGCUGGACUUGUGAGUACAGAUGUUGUUGCUCAGAGGAAGCUUCAAUGGCGUGCUAGCAAUACAAUCAAAGGUUGCAACCUGAUUAUGCAACCCUAAGUUGUCUUGAGCGAGGAUGCAAAGGCUGCGAUCCAUGCAACUUGUUCCUUUCCAUCGGGAAUGGAACAAGAAAUGCUGUUAAAAG